AAAAAAAAAAAAAAAGCAAGGAUGGGAAAAGCAAAAGAAGCAAGUUUAUUAAAUUUUAUAGCAAAAUUGAUAAACAACAAGCAAAUACCGAAGGAGUUCAAGAAAAAGCAACAAAGGAAAGAAAAGGAAAUCCUAAAAACUACAUAGAAGACUACUCUUCAGUAGUUUGGACAUCUCCCAACUGCUCGGUCGUUACACCUUCAGCAGCCUUGGUGUUUUCAGCAGCGGCAUCCUCCGAAUCUUUACCUUCGACUGCUCCAGCCUGGGUAUCAACUCCUCCAACUAUUUCACCGAUAGAAGACUCAAAGGUAAAAGCGAGCAAGUCUUCUGGAGAAAUAGAGAAGGUCUCGAAGUCUUUACCGGAAAACUCAAAGUCAGACAGCCACCCAUAGAGAUGAUCUGCAUAGCCCAACUUGUAGAAAUCAGCUUGAUUCUAAAUAAGCAAAGCCUCGAAACCAUCCUUCUCACUCUUCAACUGCUCAUUCUCCUCAAGCAAGCAAGCACGAACCUGCUACAACUCCUCAAUUUCCUUCUUCAGAUUGUCGUUGGUCUUCAAAACACCUUGAAGUUCCGACACUUGAGGCUCAAGCCUGUCAACAACCUUUUUGAAGUGGAUCACUUGGUUGUAAGUAGCUGAUCGGAUCAUAUUUAUAUAUAUUUUUACUUCGAAUUCACUCGUCUUUUCUUAGUUAGUUCCUUACAUUUUUGAGCUAUUUACUAUGUUUUUGUAUUUUGUGUGAUUU
rnacentral:lncRNA from 1 species